rnacentral:piRNA from 1 species
UCUGUGCUGUUGCAUAAGGUGGCCGC